UUAUCAUAUGAAUAUAUAUCCUCCUUUCAUCCACAUGCUAAAUUGGAAUUAAGUUUGGGUUUUUAAAUAUUUAAUAUCUUAAAUAAUAAAUAUUUUCAGACGGAUAAGUAUAUAAAAUAACACAAUUGAGUAGGCAGAAUAGUGGGCCCCAAAGUCUUCAAUGUCCUAAUCCCCAAGACUUACAAUUACAUAGCAAGUUGAAUUAAGGUUACAAACUACCUGACUUUAAACCAGGAAAAUUAUGCUUUGUUACCCAGGUAGGGCCAAUGUAAUCACAAGAGUCCAUAAAAGUGGAAGAAAAAGACAGAAAAAGAGAAUUAAAAAGAAAAAAGCUGUGAUGAUGAAGAAGGAUCUGAGAGAUGCUAUGUUGCUGGCUUUGAAGAUGGAAGAAGGGACAUGGGCCAAGGAAUGUGAGCAGCCUCCAGGAGCUGGAAAAGGCAAGGAAAUGGACUCUCUCCAAGAGCCUCCAGGAGGGACUCAUUGCUGCCAGCCCCUCAAUUUUAACAGUGAGACCCAGGUCAGACUGAACUACAGAACUGUUUCAAAGCACAUGUGACUUAUUCUCAACACAUUCCUGAAAUCAGCACAACCUCUGAAAGUCCACGUCUUCUCUACACACCAGUUCAACAGGGUCACAACCAUUGUCCCAGAAGCUCCAUUGCAGGGGUUCAGAUCCAUCUGUCACUCGUGAAGACGUUUGACACUCUCAGGUGGCACAAGGAGGCACUUGUGCAGGACAAGCACUGCCUUGGAGAGCUGUACCUUUCUGCUUCCAGGGGGCCUUCGUCUUGGAGAUGUCUUCCUCGUCUGUUGCAUGGUCACUCUGAAAGCAGCUGUGCAGACCGUGAUUAUCUGGAUUUUCCUGACGGAGAAAGGUGUGGCCUAGAAGGCAGUGGAAGGUGAGACUAGUCUUCCACAAAUAUUUUCUCCUAAACAUUCCACUCAUCUGAAGCUAGUUAACUAUAUUAAGCUACUUCAAUUCCAAAUUGCCCUUACAUAAAGUAAAUACCACUGGCUCUAAAUAUAUUUUUUAUAGAAACAUAUAGUCCAAAAUAUAUAGAAGGUGUGUCUUCAUUAUUACUCGUGGCAGGUUGGUAGUCACUGGGUAGCAGAGACUGAAGCAGGGGAGCACUGGGACGUGAGCUGGGGGGAGAGUUGUGCUACUGAUCUGCAGUGUUUGCUAAUUUCUAUAAAUGUCGCCACCAUGGCCAAUGCCAAGUACUAAGAUGAAGUUAGUUUACACAGAAUGGGGAAGAGAUGAGCACAAUCUCCUGUUCAGGUCAAAAUUCAGAGAAUGGGAAUGAAAAAUAAGAGAAAGAAUGGACUACUAGACAAACAAAACUGGAUGACCUUGAAUAAAGAAGAGCUGGCUGACUUUAUCAUUUGCCCACCUGAGCACAACAUAUAACAGAAAACCAUUCCAUCACCUGCCACCAGCUGGACCCAGUGGAUCCUGGUGCCGCCAGAAAUCUGAACCAUGCACUGCUUACUCACUCUGUGCUCCACUCCCAUUACCAAACCCUGCUUUCUGUUCAGCUUGGCCCGUCUACUACUGCAUUGCUGCCCACACAAGUAUCUGACUUCCUGAAAGCAUACCCACAGCCUCCCCACCACAAGUCAGGCUCCACGCCAUCCUCUCUGCCCAUCCAGCUCAGCUCAAGUUUUAAGGGGGAAGACAAAGAAGUACACAAACUAUUAUUAGAUAACAGAGAGACAGCUUAUUCGGUGGCUGAGUCAUCAGUCAGUGAAAAUAAUCACCGUGAAGGACAUCUUUGUAGCCCACCGGGACAGCUGUGCUCAACAGAUGGCAGAGGACCAGAACUCAAGAGUGGUUGGGCAGAAGCGUCAACACUCAUGGGUGCAGACUGAUGGCCAGUAGAUAUUUUGCCCCUAAUUUUUCAGGACCACGCAAGUGCCUGGGUUCUUGUAGGAUACAAUUAAAGGGAGGAAAAGUCCCAAUGACGACUGCUACCAGUUGUGCCAGCCCUUGACAAGUAGGAGUCUCAGCCAAAUAUAAUUUCAUUUAAGCAAUUAAGAAAGGUGACAUUUCUGGCACUCAAGUGUCACGGAGCAAUUUAAACCAGUUAAAGAAUGCCUGAAUUGAUUUGAAAAUUUGCCUAGAGAACACAUACACCCUCAUGAAUAUGUUUGUAGAUUCUUGGAGGUCUUUAACCCGCAAGAUGAUUAAACUACUGUAAGAAGUGAAUAAUGCCUUUGGAACUGUGCAACACGGCAGUCUGGCCUGCUACCGUGAGUGGGGCUAGCCUGAGUACAAACUACACAUAUCGCGGAGGGCAGCAACAAGAGACUACAGAAAAAUGAACUAGAGUCUGAUCAAAACCAAAAGCUCACAGAGACCUCACACCACACAGACUUCCUUUCUGCAUCAUUAGAAAAUGCAGAGAAGAACUCAGAUUGACCCAGCCCCGUCAUAUGCCCAUCUCUGUGGCUGGAGGAGUAAAGUACCAUGAUUCACAGUCACCAGCUGGGGAGGAGCAGCUUCCAAAAAGCAGGAAGAAAAAGUGCUGGCUUGACAAAAAACACAGAGGGUAAACUACUUGGACAUCUAGAUUUCUGUGGAGGCCAACACUAGGGCCAACUAAAUCUUCUUUCAUACCCAGACUAAGAAGGAAAUAUCACUGUCAUUGUACAUGAAGUCACAAAGAUGUGUUUUA